UUUUUAACUCCCAAACUCACCUUGUCAGGGUUUUCAAUUCAAUAUCUAUCUACCAAAAACAAAAACAAAAAACAAAAAGACCGCCGCUUUGCUUUCGUUUCUCUGAUCCUCCGGCGGACUCGCCGAUCAGGUAGAUGUAGAGGGGAGACGCGAUUGAAAGAGAAAAAAAAAAGAAAAAAGUUUGGGAAUUUGUGGGUUUUUCCUGCUCUUGAAACAGAGUUGUGGGAAGGCAAGGGGUUCAGAAGUGAAGGUCUUUGUUUUGGGUUGUUUAGUGUGUCUUUGGUUGCCUUGUCUUAAGAAUUCAGACAUGGUUAAGGAAGAAAGGCCACAAAUUACAAGGAGAGCAACCAGAUCCUCCAAUUUGGCUAAAAGUGUAGUUGAAGAAACAGAUACAAGCAGUCAACACCCAAAUGAUGCUUCUGCGAGUUCAGACAUGGUUAAAGAAGAAAGCCCACAAAUCACAAGGAGAACAACCCGAUCCUCUGCUUUGGCCAAAUGUUCAAACAAUGUAGUUGAAGAAACAAAAGCAAAUAGUCAGCAGCAACUGACUUUAGAUGACCUUGUGAUUGGAGAAGAAGGAGAGUCCUUUAGCUUCGCUGAUCUGGUGUCUAGUUUUCCUGGUAGAGAUAGUCAGAUCAAAGAGCUUGUGCACCUUUUGGGUCCGCAGAACUCUCCCAUGCUUCCUAUAUUUAUAUAUGGAGGCUCUUCCACUGGAAAAACUAGUAUUGUUCUACAAACAUUUAGGCAUCUUAAACGACCUAUUGUUUACCUAAGCUGCCUUACCUGUUAUAAUCCUCGAAUCUUGUUUGAAUCCAUAUUGAAUCAAUUGUUCCUUCACCAAAAGAAUGCAGAAAAUGGUUAUUCUAGUGCAAAGCGCUGUGAAAAACCAUCUGAUUUUGUGAAUUUUCUUCGCGAAGCCUUGGUUAGCAUUAUUGGUAAUCCUCAGGGACAAAAGUCAGGAUUGAGUAGCAAAAGGUCAGGAAAGGCUAGUGGAAAUAUGAUCUACUUGAUUUUUGACAAUUUGGAGCGUGUCAAAGAGUGGGACAAAGGUUCUACUGUGUUACCUUUGUUGUUUAAUCUCUAUGAUACUCUGAAAAAGCCCGAGGUCGGUCUUAUCUUCAUCAGCAAUACCUCACCGGAUACAUAUGACUCAAAUAUGGGUUAUGUUGAGCCUAACCCUCUAUAUCUUCCUGAUUAUACGGAUGAUGAUCUUGGUCAAAUCUUAAUGAGAAACCAAGCAAACAAAAAGCUUUAUACCUCUUUUCUCAGUGUUGUACUAAGGCCUUUCAGUAGAAUUACCAGACGAGUGGAUGAAUUGUCUAGUGCCUUUUCACUAUUAUUCAGAAAAUAUUGUGAACCUAUUACUGAUCUUGGGGUUGUUCCCAAUGAAGAAAUGAAGAGAAAGUUGUUUAGUCAAUUUCAGCCCCAUAUUGCUCCUGCACUGAAUGAGAUAUUUAAGGUUUCAACUCAGCCUCCCGCUGAAGUUGAAGCUAGGGAGAGAAAGCCAAGGGGUAGCACAAGGAAAUCCGGAGGUUAUGAAGUUGUUGACCGGUUAGAUUUUCACAUGUCUACUUCUGCCAAGUAUCUUCUUAUUUCUGCAUUCCUUGCUUCAAGAAAUCCAGCUACCCUUGAUGCAUCAUUGUUCGAUUCUACUGGAGGUUCUAAUAAUCGAAAACGAAAGAGGAAGGUCUCUGAGAAGUCAAUGGAACAGAAGGAAACUGCAGAACAGGAAUUACUCAUGAAGGGCCCCGGAACAUUCGCAAUGGAGAGGUUACUAGCCAUAUUCCAGUGUAUUACGUCCGUGGCUGAAGAUCCACUUGAUGAUGAGGAACAAGCACAGGAUGGGUUAGGAAUUCAAGAUGGACAUUGUGGGCUCAUGUCUGAUGUGCUCUUACAAUUGACUAGUCUCUGUGGUGCAAAUUUUAUUGUUAAAGGAGGAAGCUGCCCACUGGAGGGCUCAACUCGCUAUCGUUCUACAGUUAGUGAAGAUAUGGCCCUGCAGGUAGCAAGGAGCAUUAAGUUUCCUCUCUCAAAGUACUUGUACAGAAGAUGAUUGCUUAAGAGCAAUGGUAUCUGCAACAUUGUCGUCAACUUAUUUUCAAGGAUGAAAUAGAAGGGUCAGAUUGUGUCAGUUUUGCUACUACCAGGAAAUAGCUGAGGAAGCAACAAUAAUAUGAAAGAUGUGAUGGGGAAAUUGGGGUAGAUACCACAACUUCAAUGUGGGAGGACUUUUAAAUUUCUGGGGGGCCUUAAAUUCCAUCUUAAAUGCCAUCUUUAGAGAAAUGCCGCGUCAAUGGUUUAUUUCAAUGAGUCCAAUUGGAAGUGUUGACAAAACUAGAAACAGUUGGAAUGAGACAGUUCGAGAGGGCUGACUCUAAUAACUUUCUAGGGUCCAGAGUCCUAUCCUUAGUGGUCCUUCAUGGGAGGUGGAUGUACAAAUUUUUCUUUGCCCAUCAAUCUCUAGUGGGAGACCUAAUUCUUCUUUGAAAUGUGGAUUAUGAACACUUCACAACAACUAUGAGAGCUGUCGACAAGAAUCUUAAGUACUUGGAAUUUGUUAUCAG